rnacentral:rRNA from 1 species
AUUGAACGCUGGCGGCAUGCCUUACACAUGCAAGUCGAACGGUAACAGGUCUUCGGAUGCUGACGAGUGGCGAACGGGUGAGUAAUACAUCGGAACGUGCCUAGUAGUGGGGGAUAACUACUCGAAAGAGUGGCUAAUACCGCAUGAGAUCUACGGAUGAAAGCAGGGGAUCGCAAGACCUUGUGCUACUAGAGCGGCCGAUGGCAGAUUAGGUAGGUGGUGGGAUAAAAGCUUACCAAGCCGACGAUCUGUAGCUGGUCUGAGAGGACGAUCAGCCAAACUGGGACGGAGACACGGCCCAGACUCCUAAGGGAGGCAGCAGUGGGGAAUUUUGGACAAUGGGCGAAAGCCUGAUCCAGCAAUGCCGCGUGCAGGAUGAAGGCCUUCGGGUUGUAAACUGCUUUUGUACGGAACGAAAAGCCCCGGGUUAAUACCCUGGGGUCAUGACGGUACCGUAAGAAUAAGCACCGGCUAACUACGUGCCAGCCGCCGCGGUAA